AUGUCUGCUGUGGCGGAGAGCGGACAGGCGUCCCGUGUGUUCGAAGGUGCGCUGACAGGAGUUCACCUCGGAGUCAGACACGACAUCCUGCGAGCAACGGCUGGUUCGGGCUCCAGGGCCACGUGGUGGGGGAGUGAAGCGGUGGUGAGAGCAGUCGGCAGCAUCUCAGUCUCCUGGUUCAACGCGACGCUCCGACUCCUCAACAUGAAGGUGUUGGUGACUGUCAUUUUAUUGACCUCCUUUCUCGGUAAAGCGGCGCGUCAGACAUUGACACAGUCUCAAUUAUCGAUCACCAGACGUCCGACAAAACGUGCACUUUUACUGUGAUAUUCAACGAAUAGAUUUUGCGGCAGCUGUUAUCUAUUGGUACCGGCAGAGGCCGGGACAGGGCCUGCAGCGGCUACUGUAUUUUAAGAGUUCAUCGGACACUCAGAAGGAUGUGUCCGACGAACGGAUAAUUGCGGGUAAAGUACCUGAGACUCAAUCGUGCACUCUGCUCAUGACGAAUAUCCGCAAGGAUGAUGCUGGCACAUACUACUGA